GUCCUAGUUAGGAUUCUUUUCCUAGUGAGGAUUUAAAGUGCUGGCAUUAGACAAGGCUCCUUGUACUUCGCACAGAGCUGGUGCUCAGUGAAGGGCUGUUGAAGGCCUUAGUGAACACAUAGGAUUCAGAGAACUUUUUUUUAAGAGCUCAAAUUUAUUUAUUUAAAAUUUUAUUUAUUAUUUUUAAUUGGAGGACAAUUGCUUUACAAUGUGGUGUUAGCUUCUGCUGUACAACAACCCGAAUCAGCUAUAAGUGUGUGUGUAUUCCCCUCCUUUCCUCCCAUCCCCCCAGGAGACAGAGAACUUCACGAAAUUAAGUGGUCCUUCCCGCAGCCAGAGGGAUGGACCAAACGGCCUCUCUAAACCCCUUUCACCCCGAGUCUGGGAGGGCCAGGGAAGAGCUGGAGUAAAGGGCCAGCUUCACCUCCCAGGCAGGGAAAGACGCCCCCACCCUCACCCCAACCUCCUCCACGCAGAAGGGCUGUGAGAGCAACUCCUUUCCACACAGGAAAAAAUAAACUCAUUGGCAUCUCCCCACCCCCUCAGCACCCGGUCACCCCCUCUCCAUCCCCACCCUGAUCCCUGGACCCAGCCGAAGGAGCUGGAGUCUAGGAAAAACAACUCCUGGAGAAAGGCCCAGGGCAGCUGGGGGUGGGCUGAGGGGUGCGCGCGUCAGUUUUGAAAGCCCUGGGGCCGCUCUAAGCGGAGGGGAGUGAAAGGGGGAGGGGAGGAGGAGUGGGAGAUGGAACAGAGAAAAAGGGAGGAUUAAUUCGCUACUCGGAUACCAGGGCCAAGGACUGAAGCGUCUUCCUGCUUAUCCCCUCCCCUCCUCCAUCAGGCGUCAUCCAAGGGAGUUGCCUUGGGACAUCCAAGGUGGGGGAGGGGGUGCGGGGACGCUGAGGGCCCGGGAGUGGGAAGCGCAAGGGUGUUUGAGGAGCAAGGAUGUGCGAGGCUGCUUACAGACCCCAGUGGGCUGCGUUCUGGAAGACACCCCAUGGCUGACCCUCUCCAGGUCCCGCCUGAGCCCCUGCAAGGGUUCUGCCAGCGCCGGCUCAACAGCGGCACCUGCUGUCCGGGGCCCUCCCUGCGGGGCGGAGCUCCCCCUCCGCCCUGGGAGCCCAGCGGGAUUUCCUCCUCUGUGGACCACAUAGGAAAGAUACUUCCUGCCAAGCAAACCAAAUGUAUUAGGUAACAAUUGAUUUAAAUUCUUUUUUUUUUUUUUGGCACCUUACAGUUCUGAUCAGCAUGAGAGAGAGAUAACGUAGGUUUGUUGGGCUGAUCAUUUUCCACACCAGAGGUCCUGCUUAGCCCAGGCUUAUUUCCAUUAGGCCUUGGGUGGGCAGUGGUUGGCAAUGACCUGACCACUCCUAGGGAUUGAGAGCACAGGCUGGCAACUAUUACAUUAGAGGCUCCCCACCCUGAUGGGAUUUCCAGCUACGGGAAACAGCUCCCACAAGCCACUCUCCCAGAUGUGUUGACAGUGUGUUCCUUCCUUGCUAGGCUGUGAGCAGCCUGAGGACAGAGACUCUUCUCAUCAGCCUCAGAACCUUCAGGAGUGAGCACAGUCCCGAGCACAGAGCUAGUGCUAAGUAAAGGCUUGUUAAAUGGAAAGAGAGCCACUGAAGACAUCGGGGACUAUAUUCUUUAAAUAGAGAGACAGAGUGAAAGAAAGAGAGGAAGGAAGGAAGAAGAAAAGAAAAAGAGAGGUCCUAGGUAAUCUCAAGGGCAAGGACCCAAGGGCAAGACUGUGGUUUGCUCUGGCUGGAGCGGAGGGCAGUGGGCACACAGUGUCACCUUCUUAACACGCCCAAGGAGC
ensembl:lncRNA